UCUAAUCCUUCUACUACAUUAUAUUAUAGUAUUUGAUUUAUAUAACUACAAAUUUAUUUCUUUGAGUUUUUAUAAAAAAAUUGUCGUUGUUAAAAAUUAAUAUCUUCAUCUGUAUUGUUGCAAUGUUGGAAUAACCUAAAAGACAAUCGAUUUUAUGGCACAAGUGGACCUCCACGUAUUUUUCUUAUUAUUUACAAUCAGAUUGUCCUGAAAUAGAUGUUGAUAAAAGUAUUUCGUCAGAUGAUAAGUUUGCCUUAAAGUUUGGAUCUUUACUCCUAGAUACAGAUUGUAUGAAAUGCAAUUGUCGUCGUAAAUUAAUUUGCAGAAAGGAUCGCGAUUCAAUUUUAUUUCGACGUCACAAGUGCAAGAUGAGCACCUCGCCGAUCGACGUAAUCUAUAAUGGUCAAUUUGGGGAAACUUUCAUAGGGAACUAUUUUUCCCCUUCGUAUUGCAUCUAAUUUGCAUAGAGUGUACGUUGAGCGUGACUGGUUCGGAUGUGGGUGUGAGCUUUCAUUCAGCUGUCGACUUUGCAAAAUUCGUGAUAUACGUUUUGAUGAUUUCGUUGUAUAAUUUAUCCAAAAUGAAAAAUGUUCGACCCGGAAAAUUUGUCGAAAUCGAUGAAACUGUCGUGAGUAAAAGGAAAAACGAAAAUGGAAAGUUUUGAAAGGAACUAGGCGACUCGUCGAUGAAAUUGUGUCUUCCGUUGUGCCAGGUACUGUGACUUCAUGCCACGAAAACAAUAACCGAAGAACUCUGAAAAUCGAAAGAGGAAGAAAGAAGAAACGUCGGUCAAAAGUACGGGAAAAGUGUCGAGUAAGAUAAAACAGGAUCUAGUUACUGGAGAGUUUGCAUAAUCAUGUUAAAGUUCGAAGGAAAGGAAGAAAUAAAACAAAUAGAAGUGUGUUAAAUGCAACUCAAGCAGUAAAGUAAGCGGAUAAACGAAGGUGAUAUAUGUUAGCAACAAGGGAGACAAGAUAGAUUAACAGUGGAAAAAUUGUAACAUG
rnacentral:misc_RNA from 1 species